rnacentral:rRNA from 1 species
CAGUCGCCGCGGGAAUACAGAGGGUGCGAGCGUUAAUCGGAUUUACUGGGCGUAAAGCGUGCGUAGGCGGCUUUUUAAGUCGGAUGUGAAAUCCCUGAGCUUAACUUAGGAAUUGCAUUCGAUACUGGGAAGCUAGAGUAUGGGAGAGGAUGGUAGAAUUCCAGGUGUAGCGGUGAAAUGCGUAGAGAUCUGGAGGAAUACCGAUGGCGAAGGCAGCCAUCUGGCCUAAUACUGACGCUGAGGUACGAAAGCAUGGGGAGCAAACAGGAUUAGAUACCCAGUAGUCCCUGUCUCUUAUACA